UUUGACCUCAAAUCAGGUAGGACUACCCGCUGAACUUAAGCAUAUCAAUAAGCGGAGGAAAAGAAACUAACAAGGAUUCCCCUAGUAACUGCGAGUGAAGCGGGAAAAGCUCAAAUUUGAAAUCUGGCAGUCUAUUUUUUCUUCUUUGGCUGUCCGAAUUGUAAAYCUAGAGAAGUGCUUACCUGCACUGGACC
rnacentral:rRNA from 1 species